AAAAGGUGGUAAUGCCGGAUGCUCCAGUUGGAUGCAUGUCCUUCUGGGAAAGAUUCAUCGGUAUGGGAUGGGGUCGCGUCCUAUCAGCUUGAUGGCGGGGUAACGGCCCACCAUGGCUUCGACGGGUAGCCGGCCUGAGAGGGCGACCGGCCACAUUGGGACUGAGAUACGGCCCAGACUCCUACGGGAGGCAGCAGUGGGGAAUAUUGCACAAUGGGCGCAAGCCUGAUGCAGCGACGCCGCGUGCGGGAUGACGGCCUUCGGGUUGUAAACCGCUUUUGACUGGGAGCAAGCCCUUCGGGGUGAGUGUACCUUUCGAAUAAGCACCGGCUAACUACGUGCCAGCAGCCGCGGUAAUACGUAGGGUGCAAGCGUUAUCCGGAAUUAUUGGGCGUAAAGGGCUCGUAGGCGGUUCGUCGCGUCCGGUGUGAAAGUCCAUCGCUUAACGGUGGAUCCGCGCCGGGUACGGGCGGGCUUGAGUGCGGUAGGGGAGACUGGAAUUCCCGGUGUAACGGUGGAAUGUGUAGAUAUCGAUA
rnacentral:rRNA from 1 species